UGGGGAAUUUUGCACAAUGGGGGAAACCAUGAUGCAGCGACGCCGCGUGAUUUAGAAGGCCUUCGGGUUGUAAAAAUCUUUUUUACGGGAUGAAAAUGACAGUACCGUAAGAAUAAGGUCCGGCUAAAUACGUGCCAGCAGCCGCGGUAAUACGUAUGGACCGAGCGUUGUCCGGAAUCAUUGGGCGUAAAGGGGACGUAGGCGGCCUAGUAAGUUAGAAGUGAAAUAAUAUAGCUCAACUAUAUAAAGCUUUUAAAACUGCUAGGCUUGAGAGAUGGAAGGGAAAGUGGAAUUCCUAGUGUAGCGGUGAAAUGCGCAGAUAUUAGGAAGAAUACCGGUGGCGAAGGCGACUUUCUGGUCAUCAUCUGACGCUGAGGUACGAAAGCGUGGGUAGCAAACAGG
rnacentral:rRNA from 1 species